GAAAGUCUGACGGAGCAACGCCGCGUGAGUGAUGAAGGUUUUCGGAUCGUAAAACUCUGUUGUCAGGGAAGAACAAGUACCGGAGUAACUGCCGGUACCUUGACGGUACCUGACCAGAAAGCCACGGCUAACUACGUGCCAGCAGCCGCGGUAAUACGUAGGUGGCAAGCGUUGUCCGGAAUUAUUGGGCGUAAAGCGCGCGCAGGCGGUUCCUUAAGUCUGAUGUGAAAGCCCCCGGCUCAACCGGGGAGGGUCAUUGGAAACUGGGGAACUUGAGUGCAGAAGAGAAGAGUGGAAUUCCACGUGUAGCGGUGAAAUGCGUAGAGAUGUGGAGGAACACCAGUGGCGAAGGCGACUCUUUGGUCUGUAACUGACGCUGAGGCGCGAAAGCGUGGGGAGCAAACAGGAUUAGAUACCCUGGUAGUCCACGCCGUAAACGAUGAGUGCUAAGUGUUAGAGGGUUUCCGCCCUUUAGUGCUGCAGCAAACGCAUUAAGCACUCCGCCUGGGGAGUACGGCCGCAAGGCUGAAACUCAAAAGGAUUUGACGGGGGCCCGCACAAAGC
rnacentral:rRNA from 1 species